GCCGCCCCUGCUGGCCGCCCCCUUGUCCGCGGCUCACCACACCAGCUCCCCCCUCCUGUUCGCGGCUCACCACACCAGCGCCUCGCCGCUCUGCUCACCACCCUGCUCGCGGCCUCUCUGCGGGCGGCUACCCAUCUCUGCUGGCCGCCCCUUGGCUCGUCGCUCAACAGGCGCGCCUUUAAGUCCUUCUGACGGAGGGGGUGAUUCACUGAGGGUUGCCUGUUUUUAGGGGUUUGUAGGACAAAUUGCCUACCAAUCCCAGGGGGCGAUUUGUCAAAGGGGCGACCCCUUCGCCCCCCCCCCCUCCCCGUAAAACCGUACCUGCCGCUCAACAGCCCCUCUCGCCGCCCCUGCUGCUCCUGGCAAUCCGUCUGUGUAAUCCGUUUGUUGCUGCCGAGAAGAAGGUUCUAGUCAAGCCACGCCCCCCACCCGCCACCCACCGCGACUCGUUGUCGAACGCACGAGUGAACCUUCAAGUGGCUCGACGACGCGAACCUCUUCGGGAAUGCUGCAGCAGCGUUUCCCUGCGUGGUCGACAGACGACAGGCAAGUCUCGUUAGCAAUACUACUUGUUUCACAUUUGGUGCGUUUGCAGUGACCCUCCUGGUCAGCCCCUGAUGACGCCCGUCGGCUGCCGACCGGCGCGCCGCUCUUGGCCCAGGCGCCCCCCCAUCGUCUCUAGUGAGUCGCCUGAAAGAUUUUUCUCGGUGAUGUAGCUGGCCAACAGCUUGCAGCUUCGACUACUUUUUGAUACCACAAGUAGAAGUAAAUUUUUCUGGGAGCCACCACAUCCCACCACACUAUGCAUGCUGUUACUCCCCAAGGCUUCAGCUCUCUACUUCAAUUUACUUUCUGCCAUUCUUUUUGAUUUGUCUGCCAACAUUUCCUAUUCUGAAACAUCUAAGUUAACGUAAACUUUUGAAUCAGGUGUUUCUGUUAUCUAAACCUAUGUAGCUUUAGUACAGAAACUUUGAAUAGUUCCGUUUCUGCAUUGAUUUUGAGAUUGAAAUUUGGAUUCCCUUUUUAUUAAAACUCAUUACAUUUUGACAUCUAUGUUGCAGCCGACAUUUCAAUGCUACCCUGCAACCAAACGGGAUCAUUUCACCUUCUUCAAAUUUUAAGACUUGAAACUGAUCAUUAUACUUUGUACAAAUAUGGGACACCUAAGCAUAUAAUGGUCAACAGCGUUUAUAUAUCACUGUGUUUCGACUAUUGGACUUGCUAUUAUUGACUGACUCCUCUCUUUUGUGUGUGUCCUUAUAUUUUUUGGCAUAGCACUUCACUGAAUGGUCGUUUGUUAUGGUUGUUUUUCUAUUUUUGGUAUUACGUUUCUGUUUGCAUGUUUGUGGUUGUGAAUGUGGGGCAUGGUGUAAAUUCUGUGUGGUAUCUUCUGGAAUGACUUCGACACAUUAGAACCCUCUGCCACUUUCUCUGCAUCCAAAUCAUUCCACAAACUUAUGUCAUCUAAUCUAAAUGAAUUAUUUGUAUUCUGCCAUUGAUUGUUAAGAAUAUUUCAAAUUAUUUAUUGCCACCCCAAUGUUAGGAUACACUUAUGUGCCAGUGCUUGAGAUACAAUUUUGUAUCUAGUUUUAUUUGCACUGUAAUUCAAUUAUAUUAGUUUCUCACUUUUGUUGCAGUAUAACUGAAACUUAAAAGUAUUUAGUUUAACGAUACUCCUAGAUUUGUUUGUGAUUGUUAAACUUCGUUCUUGAACUUUCAGUGAAGACCCCUUGAUUCCUGUUGAUACUAGUUUGUCAAUGAACUCAAUGUAAAACAUUUUUUUUACUUUCAAUUUACUUAAUUUAAUUUGGUGAAUUUCUGCUUUAUCUGCAUAACUUUAUUUGAAUUUGUGUGCCCUCCCUGUACUGUACUAACUAGUACCAACUAUAUGACCUCUUUUUGUCUGCAACUGUUACGCCAACUGUUCUACUGUGCUGCUAAAAUAAAUUUCUCGCUCUCUUGAGCCAGCCCUUUCUAGGAAAUGUUGUUUACCUGCUCCUUGCUCCUCAUG